rnacentral:lncRNA from 1 species
AUUUGAGUCGAUUUUAAGUGUUGCUUUUUUUCAAUCAAGUCAAGUUUGAGUUUGAGAUAUUAAGAAUCAAUUAAUCUCCAGUUGAAUUUGAAGUCCGAGUAUUUUGAAUUAAAUCGAGCUCGAACUUCUAACUAUUUGAUUCAACUUGACUCGAUUAUACCUCUGCACCCAAGUUACGAUGGAGUGACUUUACCACUGGACC